rnacentral:tmRNA from 1 species
GGGGGCGAACUAGGCUCGACGGAGUGCUGGCGGUGCUGUGCAGCAAGUCAAGGCGCUUAACCUUGUAAAAAUGAGCAAAACUAUAAAUGCCGAAGCUGAUACCUUCGAAUACGCAAUGGCUGCUUAAUUGUCAGUCACGUUGAUGAUUUCCUCUCCUGCGGGCAGUUAUCAACGUACAUCAGCGGGAUCGUUUUCUGAGUGUCUGAUCUCAGAGAAUUAAACCUAUUCAGGCUAUGAACUUUGCUAUCGUGUUCAUUCGAGAGUAAGGUUUAGAAAAUCAAAAAAUGAAAUAAACUUGUAGAAGCCAUCACUUAAUCAUUUCGGACGGGGGUGCGAUUCCCCCCGCCUCCAGUU